rnacentral:rRNA from 1 species
GACGUAGGGUGCGAGCGUUGUCCGGAUUUAUUGGGCGUAAAGAGCUCGUAGGCGGUGUGUCACGUCGAUCGUGAAAACUUGGGGCUUAACUCUGAGCUUGCGGUCGAUACGGGCAUCACUGGAGUUCGGCAGGGGAGACUGGAAUUCCUGGUGUAGCGGUGAAAUGCGCAGAUAUCAGGAGGAACACCGGUGGCGAAGGCGGGUCUCUGGGCCGAUACUGACGCUGAGGAGCGAAAGCGUGGGGAGCGAACAGG